UGAGGAAUAUUGGUCAAUGGGCGAGAGCCUGAACCAGCCAAGUAGCGUGCAGGAUGACGGCCCUAUGGGUUGUAAACUGCUUUUAUAUGGGAAUAAAGUGAGGGACGUGUCCCUUAUUGCAUAUACCAUACGAAUAAGGACCGGCUAAUUCCGUGCCAGCAGCCGCGGUAAUACGGAAGGUCCAGGCGUUAUCCGGAUUUAUUGGGUUUAAAGGGAGCGUAGGCCGUUUGGUAAGCGUGUUGUGAAAUGUAGGAGCUCAACUUCUAGAUUGCAGCGCGAACUGUCAGACUUGAGUGCGCACAACGUAGGCGGAAUUCAUGGUGUAGCGGUGAAAUGCUUAGAUAUCAUGAAGAACUCCGAUUGCGAAGGCAGCUUACGGGAGCGCAACUGACGCUGAAGCUCGAAGGUGCGGGUAUCGAACAGG
rnacentral:rRNA from 1 species